UGGUUCUCCCCGAAAGCUAUUUAGGUAGCGCCUCGUGAAUUCAUCUCCGGGGGUAGAGCACUGUUUCGGCUAGGGGGCCAUCCCGGCUUACCAACCCGAUGCAAACUGCGAAUACCGGAGAAUGUUAUCACGGGAGACACACGGCGGGUGCUAACGUCCGUCGUGAAGAGGGAAACAACCCAGACCGCCAGCUAAGGUCCCAAAGUCAUGGUUAAGUGGGAAACGAUGUGGGAAGGCCCAGACAGCCAGGAUGUUGGCUUAGAAGCAGCCAUCAUUUAAAGAAAGCGUAAUAGCUCACUGGUCGAGUCGGCCUGCGCGGAAGAUGUAACGGGGCUAAACCAUGCACCGAAGCUGCGGCAGCGAACGUAUCACCCAAGACAACUUUACGGAGUUGACGAUUGACGGAGCGAAGCGACGUCAAAGCGUUCAUUAAAGUCGAGUUGGCUUAGGGAUACGUUCGUUGGGUAGGGGAGCGUUCUGUAAGCCUGUGAAGGUGUGUCGUGAGGCAUGCUGGAGGUAUCAGAAGUGCGAAUGCUGACAUAAGUAACGAUAAAGCGGGUGAAAAGCCCGCUCGCCGGAAGACCAAGGGUUCCUGUCCAACGUUAAUCGGGGCAGGGUGAGUCGACCCCUAAGGCGAGGCCGAAAGGCGUAGUCGAUGGGAAACGGGUUAAUAUUCCCGUACUUGGUGUUACUGCGAAGGGGGGACGGAGAAGGCUAUGUUGGCCGGGCGACGGUUGUCCCGGUUUAAGCGUGUAGGUGUGUGUUCCAGGUAAAUCCGGUUCACUUUAACACUGAGGCGUGACGACGA
rnacentral:rRNA from 1 species